rnacentral:lncRNA from 10 species
UCCUUGUUGUGAGUCUAGCGAAUAUUUGAUUAUCUUUAAGUUGAUCCAUAGUAUAUUCAACAGUCUCAUGAGAACAUAAUUUUUGUUGAUGAUUUGUCCAAAGUUUCUAUCAAUCCAUCUUAGCAGCAGAGCCAAGUGUUAGAGUUAUUGCUGCCUGAGUUAUAACAGCUGCCCUGGGAAUCUUGUCUGAACAACAAGUUAACUGCUGUUCCCAGUUAUAUCUGGUCUUUCCCACCCCCAAACAUACACAAAAGAUUUUUGUCAUUCUUGGCACUGGACAACAGAAGUGAUAAGACAUGCCAGCAGAACUCUAAAGGCAGAAUGUCCUUCCACCUGUUUUAUGCUGUAAGACAAACUUCCAAGUGCGAGGCAGUGUGGAGGGCUGUUGCCUUGAAUGGCAGCUGAAUGCACCAGCGGGAUCCUUGGCAGCAAUGCCCAGGCACUGAAGUCGGGCAUUCAGGAGAGCUAAAUGGAGAAAAGAAACUUGAGCAAACUGCUUCCUGGAACACUGAGAACCUGAAUGGGAAAUUAAGAAGAACCAGAUUCUUUCUAUUCUUCCACCAGCCAAGCAACUUCAGGAUGGGGGAAUCAAGCAAAACCAUGGUGAAGAGAUUCAUUUAAAGAGGACAAGUGAUUUAUUCUACAUCUCAGGAGACAGUUCCUUAAGGUGAUGAGCACAAAAGGAUCCAUCUUAUACAGUGCUUGCCAGCUUCCAUAAUACUACUCACCACGAUGUUGAAAUCACCUGUUCCAGAACCAGUCCUGUCCUUUGACAAGAAGGAUUUAAUUAUCAGUAGUGGUGGGGACUGGCUGGAGAGAGGAAAAACACUUCAAGGACUCUGCCACCUUUCGUAGAUGGAGAGUGCAAAGUUUGUACCAUGGAACUCCUUCUCUAACAGUUACUCUGUGGCAGUGCCUAUUUCAAACCUCCCUUAACUUCUGAUUGUAUAGAUGUUUGUUUCAUUUGUUCAUCUGUUUGUUCACUUAGUCAGAGAUGUUUUAAGCCUUAAGAGAAAUAGUGGACUAGAAAAUGCCUUGGAAAAGUACAAAGUUCAAUCCAAGUAAACUGUUUUUAAACUAGGAAUUUAUGAAGCCUAAAAUAUAAAAUGUAUAUACAUGGAUAUGCUCUGAAGUGAGGUAGAGGGGUAGAAAUCAACAUUGUGAUAUUGUACUAUAGUUUUGCAAGAUGUUACCAUUGGGGGAAAAUGUUUGAAGGGUAUACGGGAUAUCUCUGCCUUAUUUCUUACAACUGCAUGUGAAUCUACAGUUAUCUCAAAAUAAAAAUUUAAUUAACAAUUGAUUACAAUUAACAGCAUUAAUUUCUUAUCCUGUCAUUUUCCUUCUCCUGAAAUUGCAGAAUAGCCAAACAGAAACCUACCCAUGACCACCAUCUGAGAUUCUUUGGUGCCCGUAUUAGUGGACAUAGGCAGGUGUAUCAGGAGGCAUCCAGUCACGCAUACUGGAAGAUACUGACUCAACUGAUUUAAGCAAAGGAAAAUACAGUGUAUUAUAUAAUGAGACAUCUUGAGUAGGGUAGUCCUAGGGUCAGUUGAUUCAGCAGCUUGAUUGAUAAUCAAGGGCCCAAAUUCUUUCCCACUUUCUACCCUGCCAUCCUCAGCCUAUCAGUUUCGUCCUCCAGCUGGCUUAAAGGUAGUUGCAAGGUGGCUGCUAUCAUGCCAUGCAAAAUGCAAAUGCAAAAAGUAUGCAGAUACAAAAAGUAUCUCUUUUCAUAAGUCUCAUUUUAAGGGCAAGGAAAAACCUGCAGGCCUUUCUGCCACUCUCUUGACCCACUUACUUAACUGUGGAACAAGUCACAAACACCUGUUUAAGUGGAUCACUUGGCCAGGAGGGAGAGAUUGCCAUUAUCCUUAGAUGGAGGAGAAUGGGGGUGGGGGUUGUUAUGCCUGAACAUAAUCAGUGCUCUGCCAGUGAGUAAGAGCAGAGAUGGGGUGAUUAAUAGGCAACCCCUCACCAAGGAGCCAUUGUAAAGCUUCAGGCCAGUUCAGAAGGUGAUGAAGAUGGAAAGCCUCCAAAGCAACCAGAACAACCAGAAGGAACACGCUUUUACAGCUUGCUUCUGAUUCCACACCGCGAGGACAAUGGGUCCAGCAUGCCACACUGAUCCAGGAACUUAGAACUAAGUAAGAAGCAAGGGAGAGAGGCUGCUAUAGCUGAAACCCAGAGAAUGAACUUUCUCCCAGGAGGUUGCAAGGGCUGCCCUUGUAAAAGAUCCUGUCCUGGGUUUAAAGAGACCCAUUACAACUUGCUUAUCGUUGGGUAGAGGUUAUAUCCAGGGAAGAGGGAACCGAGGAGAAGUGGAGGAAAGGAGGAAGGCAUGAGAUGUUGGCCCUAACCUAGAUUG